rnacentral:snRNA from 1 species
CCCUCAUUCUGCAGCACAAAUUCAAAAAUUAGAACAGUGCACCGAAGCUUGGCAUAUCUCUUGAGCAAGGAGGACAUGAAAAUGUCUGAAUCGAUCCAUGCAUUA